GAAACCAGUCUCUCGAGCUGAAAGAAAACGCAGCUGAGGAGAUAUGAGGAAACUUCCACCUACAGUAAGCAGAUGCUGAAGCCCAGAUUUCCAUGCUAAGCACUCCAAGGCUCAUCAUGCUCGGAGAGUCCAAUCUGAGGGCAAAAAAUGGAUGCUUUCCAUCGAGUGCUGAGUUCUCCUCCAAUUGAGUGACGGUUGUGAUUUCACUUCUGCUCUAGCCUUUUUGCGUCAUACUAUGUAUGAGGCAGCCACUACAUUGGAAUUUAUCCAGAGGGUAGAGUCCAGCCCAGGAAGUCAACUAGUUCAUGUCCAGAUUUAAAAGAAUAAUAUUUCAGAAAAAAAAAGGUCUUGGAGAAAAACAAUAUUCAGGUUUGAAAUCCUGCUGUAAAUGUAAAUCAUUUAACUUUUAUGCAUUUGUAAUUUACCAGAAACUUUUUAAUAAAUAUUGAUUGUUUUGUGUGUUCAGAAAAAAAGUGUUUUUGUAUGUUCAGAAAAGUGUUGAAAUUAAAUGAAACAUUCACAGAAAAAUGUUAACAUAUUUAAAAAAAUUUAUAUGUUCAGAAAAGUUUUGAGAUGUUCACAGAAAAAAUGUAACACAAAAAAUGUAUGCUAUGCUAUUUUUAAUUUAUGAAUUUUUGUAAUUUAAAGUGAUAAAAUAAAUGGCAUUUUUGUGACAAA